AUUGAACGCUGGCGGCAUGCCUUACACAUGCAAGUCGAACGGCAGCACGGGAGCAAUCCUGGUGGCGAGUGGCGAACGGGUGAGUAAAGUAUCGGAACGUGCCCAGUCGUGGGGGAUAACGUAGCGAAAGUUACGCUAAUACCGCAUACGAUCUAUGGAUGAAAGCGGGGGAUCGCAAGACCUCGCGCGAUUGGAGCGGCCGAUAUCAGAUUAGGUAGUUGGUGGGGUAAAGGCUCACCAAGCCGACGAUCUGUAGCUGGUCUGAGGGGACGACCAGCCACACUGGGACUGAGCCACGGCCCAGACUCCUACGGGAGGCAGCAGUGGGGAAUUUUGGACAAUGGGCGAAAGCCUAAUCCAGCCAUGCCGCGUGCAGGAUGAAGGCCUUCGGGUUGUAAACUGCUUUUGUACGGAACGAAAAGGUUUGGCCUAAUAAGCUGAGCUCAUGACGGUACCGUAAGAAUAAGCACCGGCUAACUACGUGCCAGCCGCCGCCGUAA
rnacentral:rRNA from 1 species